GAAAAACAUUAAAAUAAAAAUCCCAAAAAUUUUGGCGCCACCAGAUUCCCCGCGAGUUUGGUUCCCUUAUUCUUCUCUCAUCAUGGGCUAUCAGUUCUUAGGGUUUUUGAAGCAAACCAAUUUGAAAGAAAACUGAAUCAUCAAAGACUAUUUAUUGAUCUCAGGUCCCAUAGAGAGAAGAAAGAGAUUCCAGAAUUAAACAGUUUCUCAGGACCUUGAAAGGGUAUGUCAGUAAUAGAGCACGUCCAAAAGGUUCUAUUGCUGAGGAUUACAUUGUCAGAGAGUGUCUUACUUUUUGUUCAAUGUACUUAAAAGGGAUUGAUAAACCCGAAUGAAAUGAUGAUGGUGGUAAACGCAGUCCAGGGAUGGAGGUCUUCACCAAAAAUGCUUGUUUAUUCUCACAUAUCACAAGGGUUCUUAACCCUUCGCAAAAUGAACAAGAAAUGGCUCAUUGGUUUGUGUUAUACAAUAACUCUGAGGUGGAGCCAUAUAUUGAGAAGUAGAAGACUAUUGUGCGUAAUCUACAAGGACGUGACAUAACUCCGGUACAACAAGAAGAAUUUCCAAAAGGGUUCAAAAAUUGUAUGAAUGAUUUGCAAACGAAAGGGUCACCUGAAGCAACUAAUGAAUUAUGUCAUUAGCAAAUGGUCUUGGAUUGUUGCAAAGAUGUCCAGAAAUGGUAAAUUAUUUUUGAAGCCUAGCGGCUUGGUCCAGAAGAUGACAAAAUAUGAGAAGGAUAGAAAAAAAAAACAAUUCAAAAAAAUAAAAUCAGAUUUGAUGCUCUAGGGAUAAAGUCCCUCAAGAAUUCAAUGUUUGGUUCUAUUGAAAAGGACAAUAGUAAAAGUUCUAGGGUGGGAAAGAGAAAGGCGGUGAAACUAAUAAUGACAAGGACUAUCAACCACUUGAUGAUCAUGAAAGACUGAGUUCUUCAAGUGAUGAUGGCAAGCCUUUUGAUUCUCAAGUGAUUGAGGAUAUUCAUAUGGGUCCUGGUAAGAAAACAAAUAGGUCCGCAGCUCGCCUAAUAGCUUCACAAAUACCUAGAGAAGAGAGAAGUACUCUUGAUGAAGAUACACUUACUCUUCCGAGACGACCUUUACCAGCACAAGUUAAUCAUUCAGAGAGCACACCUAAGGUGUGGACCCAACCUAUCCAUCUUCCCGCCUUAUGUACUAGGCCCGAUCAGCUCCUUACCUUAGCCACUCAACCUAAACACCUUUCGAGCCCAUGUGCUGUGACUAACAGUGGAGCAUCAAUUCCAGUUUUGGGCAAGAAGCGUGUACGAGGACCGACCUGAGGAAAUAAUGUGGAGAAGAUUAGAAAGGAACGUGGUAAUCGCAUAGCCAUUACACUUAAUCGUUUGACCAAAGCAAUAGAAAAGGGAUUACGCCACACCGCUAGCAGCUGCUCUUGGUCAACAAAUUUGAGUUCAUGCCCCAGUUCGAAAUGAUGAAUGGAUAGCCAUUGCCUUUGGGUUAAGAGAGUCCAUUGUUACAAGAGUUGAGUAAACUUUUGACUUUGGGGAUUACAAUCAUGAUGUGGAUGUGAGAUGUAUUAUUGAUCAGAAGUGCCAAACUUUAUACAAUGAACGGCAAAGUAGAUUACACAUGCACUACAAAUCCUUUAAAGAAGAGAAAUUGGAAAUGGAUGAUUAACAAUCUAUGGAAAACUGAUGAUUGGAAGGAAAAAUCAGAGAAUGCGAUGAAAGCAAGAUGUUGUGUGGAGUAUAAUCAUACGAGUGACUCGAGAUCGUUUACGUCAUGAGCAUAUAUCCUUGCAAGUGUAGAUAUACAAAUUUGAACAUACUAAAUUAUAAAUACAGAAUUAUUGGUUGACUGUAAAAUCUAAUGAAAUGAAAGGUACAAGGAAGCAAACCAACUAUUACGAUCACACCCACAAACUACCGACACGGGGGAGUGUGGAUAAAUAGCUCAGUUGAGGAACAUCAUGCCACUAUGGUUUCAAAGAUCGCUGAGCAAUCUCAACCUAGUAUCACACAUCCAUUAUCAAAGGAGCAGAUUUUCGGGGAAAUACUUGGGAAAAGGUCGGUCUACUUGAAGGGAUAUGGGAUCCGCAAGGACACUACUUCAUCUUCCACACAUUUUGAAGCUCCUAACUCUGAGGUGAUUGUUCUUCAACAGUAGUUAGUUGACUAACGACAACAAUUGGCUGACCAGGAAAAGCAGUACUUGACCAGGCUCAAAACAUGAGUACAAUGCAAGCUGUUAUUCAAAUGUUGGUUGCAAAAAAUAGGAUAGAUCUAGCAAACAUUCCGGGGUUAGUUCCAAGCAACAGUGUCGGGGAGGAUGCAUUAGGUGUAAGAGAAGAUGAAAUUUCUCUCGGUUGAAAUAGAGGUUAGUGUGUUUCUGGUGCUGGUUUGUUGUUUGAAUAGGUGCUGGUGCUGGUGCUAGUGCUGGUGCUGGUUUGCUAUUACUGGUCUGAUGGUCUUAGUAAGAGGGCCUUGCUGGUCUGCUGUAGUUGCUGGUUUGCUGUUGAAAAUUUGAUUUCGUUUUUGUUUUCGCUUUUGCUGUUAUUAUGGUUUUGAUUCAACAAAAUUUAAGAAAUUAAAAGAUUUGUCCACUCAACCUAUGGGGCCUCUAAUUGGUGUUACUUAUACUAGCAAGACGGGGAAUUUGUGCCUCUUAUUUUCCUUCAUUUUGCUGUUGUUAAGUAGUUUUGGAUCGUGUAGCAUACUGUUCUUCAAAGCACUAACCAUAUUAUUAUUGUUACUUUAUAUUCUUGCAAAAGUACAACAGCCACUGCAUUUAUACUUGUCGAGUAACAAUCCAAAAAGUAUUGAAAGUGCAAAGCUUUUGGCUAAAACCCUUUUGGAUACAAUCAGCAUAGAGUGUCGUGCCUCUAGGUAAUUAGGUUUAAUUUUUGCUUAUGUUUAUAUUAGAGUAUGUAUGAAUAUUCUCAAUAGGAGAAUUAUGUCCUCUAAAAUUUGUUGAGGGUAACUUAGAUUUGUUCUUUUCUUAAUUGAUAGGUACUUGGAGAAUGUAAGCAUUUUUGGUAAUAUGUUGGCAUAACAUUUUUUAUCCUCUUUUGAGAGUUCAUAUGAUGGCCUGUUUGGUGCGACUAAAAGUUAAUAAUUAGAAAGCGGAAACUAAAAGCACCCAUCCCCGAUAAUCAACCUAUUUUUGCCUCAUUAGUUGUAAGCAAAAAGCUACAAUUCACCAAACACACCAGCUCAAACUCCUAAAAUUUUAAAAAAAAUUAGCAAUCCUUAUAAGCUACACUAAACAGGUUGAGCUCUUAGAAGAUAGAUAAACUUUUUGUUCUUUUUUUUUUUAAAAUAAUAUUUACAAUUUAGAAAUAUUUGUGUUUCAUUGAGCAUGAAGUAUUCAAUACUCCUUUUCUUUGCAAUAGUAUUUUUUUUUGUUGUUGAAGGGACUUUGUCACAAUCCAUAGGAUUGAGCUACACAUCCUGGCAUCCUGCCAUUAAUCCUUAGAUACACAUCCUGGCAUCACCACUACCCUUCUUCAACGGACUUUGUCACAAUCCAUAGGAUUGAGUUGCCAUUAAUCCUUAGCUACACAUCUUGGUUUAUUUGUUACAUUACAUAAUUGAAAGAAAUGUUUGUUUACUUUUGAUUUUAAUGAAACUAUGGCCCUUGAUCCAAUGGAAUGGAAAAACUGAAGUCAUGUUACCCGCCCCAAGUAGUUGGGAAUAAGGCUUUGCUGUAGCUAUUGGUCUGCUACUGUUGCUGUUGCUUGCUAGUCUAUUGCAGCUGCUGGUUUACAGCUAUUGCUGCUGCCCUGGUGGCUGCUGCUUGUUGGGCUACUGCUGCUGCAAUGUUACUGUGAAGUGGCUGCUAGUAAAUGCUUGUCUACUGCAAUGUUGUUACUGCAAUGGUUCUAUCCCUAGCCCUGGCUCUGUUUUGGGGCAUCGUCGAACCUACAUUGGUGCAAUGCCAGGAAAGAUGGUUCAAUGCUUGAAAAAUGUGGGAACAACUAACCCUCCUGUGCUGAUCAAUGAGAUUGACAAGUUAGGAAGAGGACAUGCAUGUGAUUCGACAAGUGCUAUGUUGGAACUCCUUGAUCUAGAGCAAAAUGCAAAUUUUCUAGAUCACUAUCUUGAUGUUCCAAUAGACUUAUCAAAGGUUAGUUAUUGUGGUGGGGGUUUCCAUCCAUGAUAUUUGUCUUACAAGUGGAGGUUCUUAUUUUUCCCAAGUGUUCUGCUGAAAACUAACAAUUCAUAGGGUUGUGUUUGGAAUGUUUAGCUUCAUCAUCAAUUAGUCUGGACCCAACUCCAAACCUAACAAGCUUCACCAAAUUGCUUCAUUGUUUCUUUGUCAUAUUUCUGCAUGUUUGUGUAAUUUUCAUACUAAGAUAGUUGGAUGCCAAGACUCAUGUUGACUUUUAGUCUUUUUUUA